UACGUAGGGGGCGAGCGUUGUCCGGAUUUAUUGGGCGUAAAGCGCGCGUAGGCGGUGCGGCAAGUCGGCCGUGAAAUCUCCCGGCUCAACCGGGAGGGGUCGGGCGAGACUGCCGCGCUGGAGGCAGGCAGAGGGCGGUGGAAUUCCGGGUGUAGUGGUGGAAUGCGUAGAGCUCCGGAGGAACACCAGUGGCGAAGGCGGCCGCCUGGGCCUGUCCUGACGCUGAGGCGCGAAAGCGUGGGGAGCAAACAGG
rnacentral:rRNA from 1 species